UUUCAUUAUGGAUUAAAAUCAAAUGUGUGUUCAGAUAUAUUCAAUUUCAUUGUGGAUUAAAAUCAAAUGUGUGUUCAACUAUAAUCAAUUUCAUUGUGGAUUAAAAUCAAAUGUGUGUUCAGCUAUCAUAUUCGAUUCAUUGUGGAUUAAAAUCAAAUAUGAGUUCAGAAAUAUAUUAGAUUUCAUUGUGGAUUAAAAUCAAAUGUGUGCUCAGCUAUAUUCGAUUUCAUUGUGAAUUAAAAUAAAAUGUGUGUUCAACUAUAAUCAAUUUCAUUGUGGAUUAAAAUCAAAGGUGUGUUCAGCUAUCAUAUUCGAUUCAUUGUGGAUUAAAAUCAAAUAUGAGUUCAGAUAUAUAUUAGAUUUCAUUGUGGAUUAAAAUCAAAUGUGUGUUCAGCUAUAUUCGAUUUCAUUGUGGAUUAAAAUCAAAUGUAUGUUCAGCUAUAUUUGAUUUCAUUGUGGAUUAAAUCAAAUGUGUGUUCAGCUAUAUUCGAUUUCAUUGUGGAUUACAAAGAUGAUAUUGUUAUAGCAGCUAAUAAUGCAUGACAAACGGAUACUCUUUAAUGUAUACAAGAUGGACUUACCUCUGUUCAGAUGAAGACAGUGCACGUCUUUCAUUUAAAAGAUUAAAUCGAAGUUUGGCAACAGACGGCGGCACAUCGGGCACAACACUAUACCCACUUCCACGUUGUAGCUUCAUCCCAGCGGCCAGAACUUCGUCUUGAUCUAUCAGACUAUUAAAGCGCACAAUAAUCUUUCUCUUC